rnacentral:rRNA from 1 species
GAUGAACGCUGGCGGCGUGCCUAAUACAUGCAAGUCGAGCGAACGGACGAGAAGCUUGCUUCUCUGAUGUUAGCGGCGGACGGGUGAGUAACACGUGGAUAACCUACCUAUAAGACUGGGAUAACUUCGGGAAACCGGAGCUAAUACCGGAUAAUAUUUUGAACCGCAUGGUUCAAAAGUGAAAGACGGUCUUGCUGUCACUUAUAGAUGGAUCCGCGCUGCAUUAGCUAGUUGGUAAGGUAACGGCUUACCAAGGCAACGAUGCAUAGCCGACCUGAGAGGGUGAUCGGCCACACUGGAACUGAGAAACGGUCCAGACUCCUACGGGAGGCAGCAGAAGGGAAUCUUCCGCAAUGGGCGAAAGCCUGACGGAGCAACGCCGCGUGAGUGAUGAAGGUCUUCGGAUCGUAAAACUCUGUUAUUAGGGAAGAACAUAUGUGUAAGUAACUGUGCACAUCUUGACGGUACCUAAUCAGAAAGCCACGGCUAACUACGUG